UUCGUGAAAUGCUAUCUAAAAUGUACUUACUGCAAAAAAUAUUGGGGAAUUUGUGCUCUUUUAUUGAGAGAUUCUCCAGACCCUCUGGAGACAACCAGAGCCUUCCCAAGGAUGCCUUUACCUGACAGCGCCUUGGCUGAGCGCCUCCGGCACUGGGCGGGCAGCACAGGCAGCACAGGUACCACGGGCAGCACAGGUACCACAGGCAGCACAGGUACCACAGGCAGCACAGGUACCACAGGCACCACAGGCACCACAGGCACCACAGGUACCACAGGUACCACAGGCAGCACAGGCAGCACAGGCACCACAGGCAGCACAGGCAGCACAGGCAGCACAGGUACCACAGGCAGCACAGGCAGCACAGGCAGCACAGGUACCACAGGUAUCACAGGUACCACAGCUACCACGGGCACCACGCGCACCACAGGCACCACGGGCACCUACGUGGCCCUGAGCACUGGGCAAAGUCCCCACGCACACAGGGGCUGGGGCCAGGGCAUUUCCAGCACUUCUGCUCAUCCUGUCCUUGUGAAUACAGGAACAGUCUUCAAAGCAUUGUGUAAAAUGUGCAUUUUAUAUAAAUUAUGAAAACACUAUACAUGGUUUCAAAAAUUUUCCACACCAAAAUGAACUUAACUCUUCAUCAUAUUUUCCACUAACUUUCUGAAGUGCCUUAUACACAAAUAUGUUAGCAACAUAUUUUACUGUUACACACAUUAUAUAUUCAGUGACUGUGAUAAUAUAAUUAUAUGAUUAUUAGGAAACACACACAUAUAUACAAA